rnacentral:rRNA from 1 species
UACGGGGGGAGCAAGCGUUGUUCGGAUUUACUGGGCGUAAAGGGCGCGUAGGCGGCCACUGCAAGUCGGUUGUGAAAUCUCCGGGCUUAACCCGGAAAGGUCAAUCGAUACUGCAGGGCUAGAGUGCAGAAGGGGCAACUGGAAUUCUCGGUGUAGCGGUGAAAUGCGUAGAUAUCGGGAGGAACACCAGUAGCGAAGGCGGCUCGCUGGGCCAUACCUGACGCUGAGACGCGAAAGCGUGGGGAGCAAACAGG